rnacentral:rRNA from 1 species
AUUGAACGCUGGCGGCAUGCCUUACACAUGCAAGUCGAACGGUAACAGGUCUUCGGAUGCUGACGAGUGGCGAACGGGUGAGUAAUACAUCGGAACGUGCCCGAGAGUGGGGGAUAACGAGGCGAAAGCUUUGCUAAUACCGCAUACGAUCUCAGGAUGAAAGCAGGGGACCGCAAGGCCUUGCGCUCACGGAGCGGCCGAUGGCAGAUUAGGUAGCUGGUGGGAUAAAAGCUUACCAAGCCGACGAUCUGUAGCUGGUCUGAGAGGACGACCAGCCACACUGGGACUGAGACAUGGCCCAGACUCCUACGGGAGGCAGCAGUGGGGAAUUUUGGACAAUGGGCGCAAGCCUGAUCCAGCCAUGCCGCGUGCAGGAUGAAGGCCUUCGGGUUGUAAACUGCUUUUGUACGGAACGAAAAGACUCCUUCUAAUAAAGGGGGUCCAUGACGGUACCGUAAGAAUAAGCACCGGCUAACUACGUGCCAGCCGCCGCUGUAACAC